rnacentral:rRNA from 1 species
UGCAAGUCGAGCGGACAGAAGGGAGCUUGCUCCCGGAUGUUAGCGGCGGACGGGUGAGUAACACGUGGGUAACCUGCCUGUAAGACUGGGAUAACUCCGGGAAACCGGAGCUAAUACCGGAUAGUUCCUUGAACCGCAUGGUUCAAGGAUGAAAGACGGUUUCGGCUGUCACUUACAGAUGGACCCGCGGCGCAUUAGCUAGUUGGUGAGGUAACGGCUCACCAAGGCGACGAUGCGUAGCCGACCUGAGAGGGUGAUCGGCCACACUGGGACUGAGACACGGCCCAGACUCCUACGGGAGGCAGCAGUAGGGAAUCUUCCGCAAUGGACGAAAGUCUGACGGAGCAACGCCGCGUGAGUGAUGAAGGUUUUCGGAUCGUAAAGCUCUGUUGUUAGGGAAGAACAAGUGCAAGAGUAACUGCUUGCACCUUGACGGUACCUAACCAGAAAGCCACGGCUAACUACGUGCCAGCAGCCGCGGUAAUACGUAGGUGGCAAGCGUUGUCCGGAAUUAUUGGGCGUAAAGGGCUCGCAGGCGGUUUCUUAAGUCUGAUGUGAAAGCCCCCGGCUCAACCGGGGAGGGUCAUUGGAAACUGGGAAACUUGAGUGCAGAAGAGGAGAGUGGAAUUCCACGUGUAGCGGUGAAAUGCGUAGAGAUGUGGAGGAACACCAGUGGCGAAGGCGACUCUCUGGUCUGUAACUGACGCUGAGGAGCGAAAGCGUGGGGAGCGAACAGGAUUAGAUACCCUGGUAGUCCACGCCGUAAACGAUGAGUGCUAAGUGUUAGGGGGUUUCCGCCCCUUAGUGCUGCAGCUAACGCAUUAAGCACUCCGCCUGGGGAGUACGGUCGCAAGACUGAAACUCAAAGGAAUUGACGGGGGCCCGCACAAGCGGUGGAGCAUGUGGUUUAAUUCGAAGCAACGCGAAGAACCUUACCAGGUCUUGACAUCCUCUGACAACCCUAGAGAUAGGGCUUUCCCUUCGGGGACAGAGUGACAGGUGGUGCAUGGUUGUCGUCAGCUCGUGUCGUGAGAUGUUGGGUUAAGUCCCGCAACGAGCGCAACCCUUGAUCUUAGUUGCCAGCAUUCAGUUGGGCACUCUAAGGUGACUGCCGGUGACAAACCGGAGGAAGGUGGGGAUGACGUCAAAUCAUCAUGCCCCUUAUGACCUGGGCUACACACGUGCUACAAUGGACAGAACAAAGGGCUGCGAGACCGCAAGGUUUAGCCAAUCCCACAAAUCUGUUCUCAGUUCGGAUCGCAGUCUGCAACUCGACUGCGUGAAGCUGGAAUCGCUAGUAAUCGCGGAUCAGCAUGC